UCUUCAACUGGAUUAAGCCUCCAACUCCAGGGCAAGCCCAAGUUUGUGGCCUCCAGCAUUAAUGCUCUUCCCAUCUACCAGAGCAGACAGUGUAAGCUUCACACCUGUAAACAAAAGCAAACCACCAUGACGUGCCUGAAACACCAGAGUCUUCUUUAAUAACCACCCAGAGACUGCCUGUCAGUUGACCUGUUAGUGCCAACCACCAGACAGUGCUCGGAAGGAUCUGAGGUAUCAGAAAAACUGGACUGGAAAAGCACCAUCCUAGGUGUGAUGACAGUAUUGUGGUUACGGAGAACACAGGUUCUUAUUCUGAGCAGAAGCAUCUGGGGGAUGUGCCAUGACAGCUGCAAGUUCCAAAUGGCCCAAUAAAAAACAAAAACAAAAAAGGAAUAAAAAAUUGUGGCAAAGGUAAGUAUGUAUUUAUUGUACUCUUCUGUAUGUUGAAAGGUUUGCAAAAUAAGAAGCCGAGAAAUGAAAACUAAUUUUAAAAUACUAUCAAAACAAUCCUGCUUGAUCAAGAAUACUUACCAGGCCUCAGAGUUUGAGUGUAGCCCACUCCAACUAAACUAGAGUUGUUGACUUUUGCCUAAAAUAAAAUUCAAAAACAAUUGUUAAAAAAAUAUAUCAGAGAGACAAAGCCCCUUCAUGUUUCCCCAUGAUGUAAUUAUGACACAGUCAGCUUUUUUAUUCACAUGAGCUAAUACAAUUUAAUAUCAUAUAUUAAGCCAAACAAAAGCCAGGUGCACUUAAUUCUUUUCCAUUCAACUCAAAAUCAGACUGUCAGGACACGAUACUCCUGAUAUCCAUUAGAAUGUGUCCAAAGACCUCAAACUUCCCAUAUAGCACAAGAGCCUAAGCACUCUCAUAAAAAUUGUCUUUGUUGAGUCUAGUCUAGCACAACAAGGCCAAAACGUGGCUGUCCACCAGGCUCACCAGAGGUGACACACACUAGUCUCCAAACAUAAGGCGUUUAAAUCUGUGACUUAGGUUAUACACAUUACUACUUUCAGGGCUCUUCCUAAAGAAUCAAAACCAUAAUGUUAGAAAAAUCUCCAAAUGACAAGUACUUCCUCUGAAUGAAUCAGACCAAGUAACAAUCCUUUACCUCACAUUCUCAUACUUCUCAUUAAUGCUGUUGGUUUCUCGUGUGUACCCACACUGUGCUUGAGAGGAGGUUCCAAUGGGGCAUCAUUUACCAAUAUGGGCCCUCCCUUCAUUGCAUAAUCCUAACAUCUUAGGAUUUAGUUAUAGACCUUCAAGGGCUGGAAGGAACGCUGGAGAGCAAGACAUGUUAAGGCGAAGCUCCUUCUAGCUCCUUUCUCUACCACCAGUAACGUCAUUAAGCCACAGCAGAGGCCUAUGACUAUAAAUGGGGACACCGGCUCCAUCUCCAGGACCUAAGUUGCCUAGAUGGGCAACUUUAAUCCUCAACGUUAAAGUAACAAACAGCCUCUGUGAGCAAAACAGACUUGAAGUGAUUAGAUGUUUAUACUCUUGUAAUAUUUAACAUUAAGACAGUUGGAUACAAGUUCCUAUUAUUUAACAAUAGGAGUUGACCAUGGAACCACUGUGAUAGGAGUAGGAAAAGCAAACUCAGUUUCUCCCAUUAUAUUCUCACAACAAGAUGGCUUCCCUACACAUCAAGCAAGCAAUCGAUUCUGCAACAGACACCAGCCUGGGUGUCCUCUAACUGAAUUCAAUCCCAACACUAUCUACCCUGGAGAUAGCAUCAGAUCCCACAGGUUGAGGGCUCAGUCCCACAAGACUGCCCCCUAUUUAUGAUGCCAAUUGCAAGCUCCAAGUUGUUUUACCUGUGCUUCUGACAGACUGGCUAUAAACUGAGGUUCCCGUGAGCCCCUCCUUGGGUUCAAUCAAUAUGCUAGAGCAGCUCACACCAUUCAGGGAACACUCACUUAUACUUGCUGGUUUAUUAUAUAGGACCUUUUAAUUUUUACCGAUUUUUUUUUUUAAGAGGCUUGUUUUAUGUAACAAAAGUCUAUCUUUCACCUGUCACUCUGGAGCUGUUUCAGCAACCACGGACAAAAGGCCAAAUAUUUUAACACAAGAUACUCUUACUGCUCUAGUCACUUAGGAAAUUACAAGGAUUAUAGAAGUUCUGAGCCAGGAAUUGUGGAGGAAACCCAAAAUACAUACAUCGUAACAUCAUAGGCCACCCCCUGGGUUUCAAACAGAGAUCCCUUACAGCAAUGGGAUCACAUCUGUGAGAGCAUUUACAUUUGUUGUAGCAUUUACAGAACAGAUAUAUCAAGAGUACCAACACAAUUAUGCAUAUCAUUUGGAGAAGCCAGUGGAGUAGGGAUAGAUUUUGUGCUAUCAAGUGAGAAAGACAGUCUGUGGAAUGUGAGGCAAGCAAAAUCUAUCAGGCCCACAGGUGUAUUAGACUAAAGUCACACUCCCACCCCACCCAUGCCCAAGGGCGUUUAAAGGCAUUUCGUUCUUUCUUCCAAGUACAUAGUUUCCAGACUAGCUGAUAAAAUACCUAAAAUGUUGCUCAAUAUGACCCUCACCCAUUAUCUUCACAUAUCUGGAAUUUGUGAUAAAAAGAACAGUGUAUAGCCAAUCACUAAUCAAUGUUAUUUCUGUAAACCAAUGAAAAUUCCUGACAAACUACUCCUUUCCUGCUUUUUGCCUUUAAAACCUGCUUGUAAUAAAAAGGCAGAUGGGAGCUCAUAUCCAAGGUUACUUGGACCCGUCUUCCCCAACAACUGUCCUCACUUUGACUCCAGUAAACUCUAAAAUUACAA